rnacentral:lncRNA from 1 species
AGCAAGCAAAGAUGUCGGAAGAUUCAGAGGUUGUGCUGCAGCUCCCCUCGGCUCCUGUAGGAGCCGGCGGCGAGAGCCUUCCAGAGCUCUCCCCGGAAACAGCCACCCCAGAGCCCCCGUCCUCGGCUGCAGUUUCGCCCGGAACGGAGGAACCUCCCGGAGACACCAAGAAAAAAAGUAAUGUCAACAUCCGUUAGUGGGCGGGGGCAGGAGACUUACUGCUGUUUCUAGGAGUGGUGGCUCGCGAAGAAGCAAAAGCUAAAGAGGGGCGCAUCGCAGAGGUGCGCUUUCUACUCUUAGACUUGAGCAAAAGUGUUAGACCUGAGGUGUGUGACGUGGGUAACGUUUACACGGCUGUCUGAUGAACCCAAACUGUAUUUAGAAAUGCAAAAGGAACCGGCCAGACGACUGCCUGGCCCUAAAUCGGGGUUUUAGAGAACAGCCCUCACUGGCUUUUGAGGUUCUUUUUAAGUGGAAAGGUUACAGUUGAUUGAAAACAGCAAGAUAAUUGAAUGUUAGCGUCUAGAUAGAAGAGUAGGGGACUCAGGUCUGAAGUCCACGUGUGGGGAGGAUAAGUGUCAGGAUACAUCAUGUGAAAGGGGCGUCAUCACGGGUGUUCGGGAGUUUAGGAAGGCAAAGAUGUGGGCAUACGUCAUGGGGUUAUAAGUUCAGCGUAGAUUCAAAAAACAUGGUUUGUAGGAUACUUUAGGUUUUUGGAAGGUAUGGAGACAUGUAUACCGAUGUGUGGCUCCUGUUCGGGUUUCACAAAAGUGGUCUGACAGCACCUUUUGAGUGCUUAGGUGAACCGAGUGGUUCCCCAUCAUUCGCACCUUUUACAGCUUUUGGUCUUUGAAGGUGGGAGCCAAGUGGGAUCUCAGUAGGUCCAGGUACUUAAACACAAGACAGGUGACUGGAAUAAAAAUUUGAGGUGACAGGAGUAACCAGUGGGUUACAACCCACGAGUUUGGGCGAGUUCGCUAGGGGUCUGCCCCAACUGAAUAUUAAUUUAUUUUUUAGAAUAAGAAUAAUAAAAAACUGGAACUUUGGAUACUGCAGAAUGCUAAGGGGAGACUAAAGGUGUUAAGGUGUUUGCUAAGUAGUGUAAUGCUAAGGUGUUACCUUUUUGUUAGCUUUUCAUGCCUUAUGUAAGUCAUUGAAUUACUUGAACUAGUUGUCCUCAACCUCUGUAUUGUCUUAGAGUUGUGCUUGCCACUGGAAAGUAAAGGAAAUUCAGAUUAACUUGCACUGAACACUGUGGAGUUAGAGUUGACUAU